rnacentral:rRNA from 1 species
UACGUAGGGUGCAAGCGUUGUCCGGAAUUAUUGGGCGUAAAGGGUGCGUAGGCGGUCUUUCAAGCCAGAAGUGAAAGGCUACGGCUCAACCGUAGUAAGCUUUUGGAACUGUAAGACUUGAGUGCAGGAGAGGAGAGUGGAAUUCCUAGUGUAGCGGUGAAAUGCGUAGAUAUUAGGAGGAACACCAGUAGCGAAGGCGGCUCUCUGGACUGUAACUGACGCUGAGGCACGAAAGCGUGGGGAGCAAACAGGAUUAGAUACCCUGGUAGUCCCU